rnacentral:rRNA from 1 species
UAUAAAUUGAGAGUUUGAUCCUGGCUCAGGACGAACGCUGGCGGCGUGCCUAAUACAUGCAAGUCGAACGAAGCUUUUGAUCAAUAAAUGCUUGCAUUUAGCGAUUAAAAGACUGAGUGGCGAACGGGUGAGUAACACGUAGGCAACCUGCCCAAAAGAGGGGGAUAACACUUGGAAACAGGUGCUAAUACCGCAUAACCAUG